UUCGUCGGACUCGUCAACCGGGCGACCGACCCAUGAGCAGGAUGAAGCGAAAGUAAAAUUGCGUGGAGGUCCGAACCCACGGGCGUUGAAAAGCUCGGGGAUGACUUGUGGGUAGCGGUGAAAUUCCAAUCGAGCCCGGAGAUAGCUGGUUC
rnacentral:rRNA from 1 species